rnacentral:rRNA from 1 species
UGGGGAAUUUUGGACAAUGGGGGAAACCCUGAUCCAGCCAUCCCGCGUGUGCGAUGAAGGCCUUCGGGUUGUAAAGCACUUUUGGCAGGAAAGAAACGUCAUGGGUUAAUACCCCGUGAAACUGACGGUACCUGCAGAAUAAGCACCGGCUAACUACGUGCCAGCAGCCGCGGUAAUACGUAGGGUGCAAGCGUUAAUCGGAAUUACUGGGCGUAAAGCGUGCGCAGGCGGUUCGGAAAGAAAGAUGUGAAAUCCCAGAGCUCAACUUUGGAACUGCAUUUUUAACUACCGGGAUAGAGUGUGACAGAGGGAGGUGGAAUUCCGAGUGUAGCAGUGAAAUGCGUAGAUAUGCGGGGGAACACCGAUGGCGAAGGGAGCCUCCUGGGAUAACACUGACGCUCAUGCACGAAAGCGUGGGGAGCAAACAGG